CCUACGGGUGGCAGCAGUGGGGAAUAUUGCACAAUGGGGGAAACCCCGAUGCAGCGACGCCGCGUGAGUGAAGAAGUAUUUCGGUAUGUAAAGCUCUAUCAGCAGGGAAGAAAUAAAGUCCUUCGGACUUUGGACGGUACCUGACUAAGAAGCACCGGCUAACUACGUGCCAGCAGCAGCGGUAAUACGUAGGGGGCAAGCGUUAUCCGGAUUUACUGGGUGUAAAGGGAGCGUAGACGGCAGCGCAAGUCUGGAGUGAAAUCCCAUGGCUUAACCAUGGAACUGCUUUGGAAACGGUGCAGCUGGAGUGCAGGAGAGGUAAGCGGAAUUCCUAGUGUAGCGGUGAAAUGCGUAGAUAUUAGGAGGAACACCAGUGGCGAAGGCGGCUUACUGGACUGUAACUGACGUUGAGGCUCGAAAGCGUGGGGAGCAAACAGGAUUAGAUACCCCUGUAGUC
rnacentral:rRNA from 1 species